AUUGAACGCUGGCGGCAGGCCUAACACAUGCAAGUCGAGCGGAUGACGGGAGCUUGCUCCUUGAUUCAGCGGCGGACGGGUGAGUAAUGCCUAGGAAUCUGCCUGGUAGUGGGGGACAACGUUUCGAAAGGAACGCUAAUACCGCAUACGUCCUACGGGAGAAAGCAGGGGACCUUCGGGCCUUGCGCUAUCAGAUGAGCCUAGGUCGGAUUAGCUAGUAGGUGAGGUAAUGGCUCACCUAGGCGACGAUCCGUAACUGGUCUGAGAGGAUGAUCAGUCACACUGGAACUGAGACACGGUCCAGACUCCUACGGGAGGCAGCAGUGGGGAAUAUUGGACAAGGGGCGAAAGCCUGAUCCAGCCAUGCCGUGUGUGUGAAGAAGGUCUUCGGAUUGUAAAGCACUUUAAGUUGGGAGGAAGGGCAGUAAGCUAAUACCUUGCUGUUUUGACGUUACCGACAGAAUAAGCACCGGCUAACUCUGUGCCAGCCGCCGCGGUAAUAC
rnacentral:rRNA from 1 species